rnacentral:lncRNA from 1 species
GGAGGAAGCGGGAACCGUGCAGAUGUCUGGGGAAGGCUCAUUCUUGGCAGAGAGGCCCUGCACUGAGCCUGGCGGGAGGGUUGAGCACAGGAGGGAAUGUGGUGGAGGAGAGUGAGCAGCAGGAGGGAGCAGUGAAGGUCAGCAAGGUGACAGAGUGGCUGAAUCAAAAAAGACCUUGCAGUGUUUGAGCAGAGGAUCCAUAUCAUCCAUUAUGUUCCAAAGGACUCUUCAGGAUGCCGUGUGGAGAAAGGAAGAGGGUGGAAGCCAGGAGGUCUGGAGGGAGGUCUGGAGUGGAGGAGAUGAGAGGCUCCGGAUCCCUCUGGGAGGUAGAUUUGAGGACAGAUUGGAAUUGAGGUGAAAGACAGAGAAAGAGAAGUGGCCAGGAUGACUCCAAGAUUUCUGACCUAAACUACUGGGAAGGACGCGGUUGUCAUUUCUGAAAUGCAGAAGGAUGCCAGAAGAGAAGGGAACAUGAAGGUCUUGCAGGAGCCCACCUGCGUCUCCGACUACAUGAGCAUCUCUACUUGCGAGUGGAAGAUGAAUGGUCCCACCAAUUGCAGCACCGAGCUCCGCCUGUUGUACCAGCUGGUUUUUCUGCUCUCCGACCCACACGUGUAUCCCUGAGAACAACGGAGGCGCGGGGUGCGUGUGCCACCUGCUCAUGGAUGACGUGGUCAGUGCGGAUAACUAUACACUGGACCUGUGGGCUGGGCAGCAGCUGCUGUGGAAGGGCUCCUUCAAGCCCAGCGAGCAUGGUGAGCAGGGCGGAGUGCGGCAGGGGUGGCUGGGUGUGUUCCCACAGCUGCCUGGGCUGAGGGUGGGGUGGGCAGGGGAGGAGGUGGGGUCAUAGCAACAGCAGGAGGAAGCCGCCUGUAUUUUCCCAAAUCUGAUGGGAUUCCUGCCCCUGCCUGGGCCUCAGUCCUCCCACCUUUGAAACGGAGCUGGUCGCAGUAGACCACCAAGCCCCCUUCAGCCCAGCUGUUUCCACCCCUGAACUUAAGUGCCCAGGAAGGCGUAUUGAGAUGAGGUGUGCUUGCUGGAAGGCAUGCCUGCUGCUGAUUGAAAACCGAACUGGGAACAUUCCUUCCAUUCUGUGUCCACUGGUCAGCUGCUGCGGCUUUGGAUGGUCUUGACCGUGGAAGGCUGACCUUCUUCUGGUACCCGGAGUCCCUGCAGGAAUCCCCCUUGAGCUUGCUGGGCUGUGGUGACAGGAGUUUAAAACAUGCGUUGUAUUCCAGUGAUGCAUGAUAUGACAUGCAUCACAGGAAUAAAAACCUGAGGUCUCAUGGAUAUGAUUGCUUCAAAGGAGACCAAGUUUUAAAACAGAU